GAUCCUGGCUCAGGAUGAACGCUGGCGGCGUGCCUAACACAUGCAAGUCGAACGAAGCAAUUAAAAUGAAGUUUUCGGAUGGAUUUUUGAUUGACUGAGUGGCGGACGGGUGAGUAACGCGUGGAUAACCUGCCUCACACUGGGGGAUAACAGUUAGAAAUGACUGCUAAUACCGCAUAAGCGCACAGUACCGCAUGGUACGGUGUGAAAAACUCCGGUGGUGUGAGAUGGAUCCGCGU
rnacentral:rRNA from 1 species